AGGGUUUGAUCAUGGCUCAGGAUGAACGCUGGCGGCGUGCUUAACACAUGCAAGUCGAACGAAGCACUUACGACAGAACUUUUCGGAGGGAAGAUGUUUGUGACUGAGUGGCGGACGGGUGAGUAACGCGUGGGUAACCUGCCUUGCAGAGGGGGACAACAGUUGGAAACGACUGCUAAUACCGCAUAAUAGAUCGAGACCGCAUGAUCAUGAUCUUAAAGAUUUAUCGCUGCAAGAUGGACCCGCGUCUGAUUAGCUAGUUGGUGGGGUAACGGCCUACCAAGGCAACGAUCAGUAGCCGGCUUGAGAGAGUGAACGGCCACAUUGGGACUGAGACACGGCCCAG
rnacentral:rRNA from 1 species